rnacentral:rRNA from 1 species
GACGAACGCUGGCGGCGUGCUUAACACAUGCAAGUCGAACGGAAAGGCCCUGCUUUUGUGGGGUGCUCGAGUGGCGAACGGGUGAGUAACACGUGAGUAACCUGCCCUUGACUUUGGGAUAACUUCAGGAAACUGGGGCUAAUACCGGAUAGGAGCUCCUGCUGCAUGGUGGGGGUUGGAAAGUUUCGGCGGUUGGGGAUGGACUCGCGGCUUAUCAGCUUGUUGGUGGGGUAGUGGCUUACCAAGGCUUUGACGGGUAGCCGGCCUGAGAGGGUGACCGGCCACAUUGGGACUGCGAUACGGCCCAGACUCCUACGGGGGGCAGCAGUGGGGAAUAUUGCACAAUGGGCGGAAGCCUGAGGCAGCAACGCCGCGUGCGGGAUGACGGCCUUCGGGUUGUAAACCGCUUUCGCCUGUGACGAAGCGUGAGUGACGGUAAUGGGUAAAGAAGCACCGGCUAACUACGUG